GGAGGUUCUUCAAACAGCCUAUCUUGAGGUGCAAAGCUCCUUUUCACAGGACAGUGCUAAGAAUGUGUGUGGGCAAGAACAUGUUAAGGGAGAAAAGAAAAAGAAAAGUAAUCCCUUUGAACAAAGCUUUCUGAAGUAGCAUUCCAAGUAUGAAGAGAUGGAGAAGAAAACACUUGAGCCUUGACUGUAUGAUACUGGUUUCACCAAACUGCAUGCAGAAGUGAUCCUGCUGGGAUCAUCACUGGGAUUCAGACUGAAGGGAGAGAGACAGACCUUUUGAAUGUACUGCUAAGGAAAAGAUACUGUAUCAAAUGGUUGUCCAAAUCUCUGUAGCUUCCUCUCUAUUGUGUUUGUGUCACCUCAGACUGAAGUUUUAGCUUUGAAUAGUUUAUUCACUUCAACAGCUAUUCAGCUUAUGGAAUACCUGGGGAAACCAUGAGACAGAAGGGGUCAAGUUAUUUCCAGAGAGUAAUAAUGGGUAUG